AACAAACGCUGGCGGCGUGCCUAACACAUGCAAGUCGUACGAGAAAGUCGGCUUCGGCCGAUGAGUACAGUGGCGCACGGGUGAGUAACGCGUGGGUAAUCUGCCCCCCGGUCAGGAAUAACCCGCCGAAAGGCGGGCUAAUACCCGAUAACACUGACGCUCUGCGGAGUGUCUUUCAAAGAAGGCCUCUGUUUACAAGCUUUCGCCGGAGGAUGAGCCCGCGUACCAUUAGCUAGUUGGCAGGGUAAUGGCCUACCAAGGCAACGAUGGUUAGCUGGUCUGAGAGGAUGGCCAGCCACACUGGAACUGAGACACGGUCCAGACUCCUACGGGAGGCAGCAGUGAGGAAUCUUGCGCAAUGGGGGAAACCCUGACGCAGCAACGCCGCGUGAGUGAAGAAGGCCUUCGGGUCGUAAAGCUCUGUCAGAUGGGAAGAAAUGGAUGGGGGCUAAUAUCGCCCAUCCUUGACGGUACCAUCAGAGGAAGCACCGGCUAACUCCGUGCCAGCCGCCGCAGUAAAAC
rnacentral:rRNA from 1 species